rnacentral:rRNA from 1 species
UACGUAGGGUGCGAGCGUUAAUCGGAAUUACUGGGCGUAAAGCGUGCGCAGGCGGUUGCAUAAGACAGAUGUGAAAUCCCCGGGCUCAACCUGGGAACUGCGUUUGUGACUGUGUAACUAGAGUACGGUAGAGGGGGGUGGAAUUCCUGGUGUAGCAGUGAAAUGCGUAGAUAUCAGGAGGAACAUCGAUGGCGAAGGCAGCCCCCUGGACCUGUACUGACGCUCAUGCACGAAAGCGUGGGGAGCAAACAGG